AUUAAUGAGAGUUUGAUCCUGGCUCAGGACGAACGCUGGCGGCGUGCCUAAUACAUGCAAGUAGAACGCUGAAGAGAGGAGCUUGCUCUUCUUGGAUGAGUUGCGAACGGGUGAGUAACGCGUAGGUAACCUGCCUUGUAGCGGGGGAUAACUAUUGGAAACGAUAGCUAAUACCGCAUAACAAUGGAUGACACAUGUCAUUUAUUUGAAAGGGGCAAUUGCUCCACUACAAGAUGGACCUGCGUUGUAUUAGCUAGUAGGUGAGGUAAUGGCUCACCUAGGCGACGAUACAUAGCCGACCUGAGAGGGUGAUCGGCCACACUGGGACUGAGACACGGCCCAGACUCCUACGGGAGGCAGCAGUAGGGAAUCUUCGGCAAUGGGGGCAACCCUGACCGAGCAACGCCGCGUGAGUGAAGAAGGUUUUCGGAUCGUAAAGCUCUGUUGUAAGUCAAGAACGGGUGUGAGAGUGGAAAGUUCACACUGUGACGGUAGCUUACCAGAAAGGGACGGCUAACUACGUGCGAGCAGCCGCGGUAAUACGUAGGUCCCGAGCGUUGUCCGGAUUUAUUGGGCGUAAAGCGAGCGCAGGCGGUUUGAUAAGUCUGAAGUUAAAGGCUGUGGCUCAACCAUAGUUCGCUUUGGAAACUGUCAAACUUGAGUGCAGAAGGGGAGAGUGGAAUUCCAUGUGUAGCGGUGAAAUGCGUAGAUAUAUGGAGGAACACCGGUGGCGAAAGCGGCUCUCUGGUCUGUAACUGACGCUGAGGCUCGAAAGCGUGGGGAGCGAACAGGAUUAGAUACCCUGGUAGUCCACGCCGUAAACGAUGAGUGCUAGGUGUUGGAUCCUUUCCGGGAUUCAGUGCCGCAGCUAACGCAUUAAGCACUCCGCCUGGGGAGUACGACCGCAAGGUUGAAACUCAAAGGAAUUGACGGGGGCCCGCACAAGCGGUGGAGCAUGUGGUUUAAUUCGAAGCAACGCGAAGAACCUUACCAGGUCUUGACAUCCCGAUGCUAUUUCUAGAGAUAGAAAGUUACUUCGGUACAUCGGUGACAGGUGGUGCAUGGUUGUCGUCAGCUCGUGUCGUGAGAUGUUGGGUUAAGUCCCGCAACGAGCGCAACCCCUAUUGUUAGUUGCCAUCAUUCAGUUGGGCACUCUAGCGAGACUGCCGGUAAUAAACCGGAGGAAGGUGGGGAUGACGUCAAAUCAUCAUGCCCCUUAUGACCUGGGCUACACACGUGCUACAAUGGUUGGUACAACGAGUUGCGAGUCGGUGACGGCGAGCUAAUCUCUUAAAGCCAAUCUCAGUUCGGAUUGUAGGCUGCAACUCGCCUACAUGAAGUCGGAAUCGCUAGUAAUCGCGGAUCAGCACGCCGCGGUGAAUACGUUCCCGGGCCUUGUACACACCGCCCGUCACACCACGAGAGUUUGUAACACCCGAAGUCGGUGAGGUAACCUUUUGGAGCCAGCCGCCUAAGGUGGGACAGAUGAUUGGGGUGAAGUCGUAACAAGGUAGCCGUAUCGGAAGGUGCGGCUGGAUCACCUCCUUU
rnacentral:rRNA from 1 species